rnacentral:rRNA from 1 species
AUUGAACGCUGGCGGCAUGCCUUACACAUGCAAGUCGAACGGCAGCACGGGAGCAAUCCUGGUGGCGAGUGGCGAACGGGUGAGUAAUAUAUCGGAACGUGCCCAGUUGUGGGGAUAACGUAGCGAAAGCUACGCUAAUACCGCAUACGAUCUACGGAUGAAAGCGGGGGGAUCGCAAGACCUCGCGCGAUUGGAGCGGCCGAUAUCAGAUUAGGUAGUUGGUGAGGUAAAGGCUCACCAAGCCGACGAUCUGUAGCUGGUCUGAGAGGACGACCAGCCACACUGGGACUGAGACACGGCCCAGACUCCUACGGGAGGCAGCAGUGGGAAUUUUGGACAAUGGGCGCAAGCCUGAUCCAGCAAUGCCGCGUGCAGGAUGAAGGCC